GGUUAAAAAGCUCGUAGUUGAACCUUGGGCCUGGCUGGCCGGUCCGCCUCACCGCGUGUACUGGUCCGGCCGGGCCUUUCCCUCUGUGGAACCCCAUGCCCUUCACUGGGUGUGGCGGGGAAACAGGACUUUUACUGUGAAAAAAUUAGAGUGCUCCAGGCAGGCCUAUGCUCGAAUACAUUAGCAUGGAAUAAUAGAAUAGGACGUGUGGUUCUAUUUUGUUGGUUUCUAGGACCGCCGUAAUGAUUAAUAGGGACAGUCGGGGGCAUCAGUAUUCAAUUGUCAGAGGUGAAAUUCUUGGAUUUAUUGAAGACUAACUACUGCGAAAGCAUUUGCCAAGGAUGUUUUCAUUAAUCAGGAACGAAAGUUAGGGGAUCGAAGACGAUCAGAUACCGUCGUAGUCUUAACCAUAAACUAUGCCGACUAGGGAUCGGACGGUGUUAUUUUUUGACCCGUUCGGCACCUUACGAGAAAUCAAAGUGCUUGGGCUCCAGGGGGAGUAUGGUCGCAAGGCUGAAACUUAAAGAAAUUGACGGAAGGGCACCACCAGGGGUGGAGCCUGCGGCUUAAUUUGACUCAACACGGGGAAACUCACCAGGUCCAGACACAAUGAGGAUUGACAGAUUGAGAGCUCUUUCUUGAUUUUGUGGGUGGUGGUGCAUGGCCGUUCUUAGUUGGUGGAGUGAUUUGUCUGCUUAAUUGCGAUAACGAACGAGACCUUAACCUGCUAAAUAGCCCGUAUUGCUUUGGCAGUACGCUGGCUUCUUAGAGGGACUAUCGGCUC
rnacentral:rRNA from 1 species